rnacentral:sRNA from 3 species
CAGGUUCGGGUCUCACGUAGUGAGACAACGGAGCCGCUUGCGGCGACGGCCCGAAGGGCGAGCAAAGCGAGUCAUCCUGCACGACCCACCA